GGAGUGGUCCGGGUGGUCGCGUCAGGUGUGUGCUUGCACAUUCCUGCCGAGGAAAGUCCGGGCUACACAGGGCAGAAUGCCGGAUAACGUCCGGUGGGGGUGACCCCGGGAAAGUGCUACAGAGAAUAGACUGCCGGUUGCAAAACCGGUGAGGGUGAAAGGGUGCGGUAAGAGCGCACCGUCCCGUGCGGUAACGGACGGGAGCUGAGGUAAACCCCAUUCGUAGCAAGGCCAAAUAGGGAAGCAACAGGCGUGGCCCACGCUGCUUCCGGGUAGGCUGCUUGAGCCUGCAGGCAACUGCAGGCCUAGAUGAAUGGCUACCGCUUCUGCCCACCGGGCAGAGGUACAGAACCCGGCUUACAGGGCCACUCCGCUU
rnacentral:RNase_P_RNA from 1 species